UUACACAUGCAAGUCGAGCGGUAACAGACAUUUUGAUUUUGCUUGCAAAAUCUCGUGCUGACGAGCGGCGAACGGGUGAGUAACGCGUAGGAAUCUACCUAGUAGAAGGGGAUAGCCCGAGGAAACUCGGAUUAAUACCGUAUACGUCCUUAGGGAGAAAGAGGGUUUAGCUUUGAUGCUCUCGCUAUUAGAUGAGCCUGCGUAAGAUUAGCUUGUUGGUGAGGUAAAGGCUCACCAAGGCGACGAUCUUUAGCUGGUCUGAGAGGACGAUCAGCCACAUUGGGACUGAGACACGGCCCAGACUCCUACGGGAGGCAGCAGUGGGGAAUAUUGGACAAUGGGCGCAAGCCUGAUCCAGCCAUACCGCGUGUGUGAAGAAGGCCUUCGGGUUGUAAAGCACUUUAAGUAAGGAAGAAAAGAGUAUUGUUAAUACCAAUACUCCGUGACAUUACUUACAGAAUA
rnacentral:rRNA from 1 species